rnacentral:pre_miRNA from 14 species
UUCUUUUGAAAGAUCCCCAAAGGGAGACCCUUACUUAAGUCUCGGGAAGUCGUGGACCCCAGACACAGAGAGACCA